rnacentral:tRNA from 1 species
GAGGGUCUAGCUCAGUGGUAGAGCACGUGCUCAGCGUGCAUGACAUCCUGGGUUCAAUCCCCAGCAGCUCCA